rnacentral:rRNA from 1 species
GUGUCAGCCGCCGCGGUAAUACGGAGGAUCCAAGCGUUAUCCGGAAUCAUUGGGUUUAAAGGGUCCGUAGGCGGUUUGAUAAGUCAGUGGUGAAAGCCCAUCGCUCAACGGUGGAACGGCCAUUGAUACUGUUAAACUUGAAUUAUUAGGAAGUAACUAGAAUAUGUAGUGUAGCGGUGAAAUGCUUAGAGAUUACAUGGAAUACCAAUUGCGAAGGCAGGUUACUACUAAUGGAUUGACGCUGAUGGACGAAAGCGUGGGUAGCGAACAGGAUUAGAAACCCCAGUAGUCC